GUGCACCACCACCUCAAGACUGGUAUGGUGCUGAGAUCUGUUUCCUGCAGGAGAACAUUCUGGAAGAAUCUUCUACAGCCUAGGAGCAAGACACAGCAGCCAGCCUUAAGCAAGCACGGCUGCGGCGUGAAGUUUUCAAGGCUUCCAUGAAGCUAUUUGCCUUCUGCAAGAGCAUUUCCUUCCAUCUUUCCGCCUCCUGCGUUUGCAAGCCAACAUCCCUUUGAAAACACAGAACCCCCUUUGGGGUCCUGGCUGGAACGCUAUGGAUUCGGUGUCACCAGGGAGACAGCCUGUUCAGCCUGCAGUGCCCGUUAACUUGAGGAGGUGCCUGCUAUGUGCUCAGGUCAACAUCUGAAGCUCAGCUCCAUGUUCUCCUGCCUUCAGAAGUGAGCUGCUAAUGUUCAUUUUCAAAUCAGGAUCCGAAGAAUUCUUCCUGCUUCAGAGCUUUCCCAAUGACUGUUUGUACUGGGGGAUUUACUGUGAAGAACUGCCAGAAUACAAGCACUGCUAUAAUCGCAGCCAUCUAAAUGCUUUGAUGUGGGAUACAGAUUACUGAGAAGCCCAUGAACAGAAGUGAGCUAUGCCUAGAGGGAGCUCCUACAGGACUCCCCAUUCACAUCAAUGGAGAGGGCUCCAUGCAUUUCUUUACCUAUGCUAAGCUCCCCUCCCCUUUGUCAUAAAAAGGGAGACCUUUGCAUGCAGGAGCUCCCUGUGUGUGUGUUAGAAUUAAUAGAGCAGGGCGAUUGUAGAAAUGUGAGAUUAAUGCAAUAUUUGACAUGAUAAUACUCUUCAAAAGGCUGUCAAACAGAAGCGAGAAAAGAUUUGUUCUCUGUUGCCCCAGGGGGCAGACUUAGAUCUAAUGGGAUCUAAUCUGUUCCAGGAGGGCAGAUUUCAGUUGAACAUUAGGGGGAAAACUUCUUAACAGGAAGAAUGGCUUGACAAUCGAACCAGUUAGCCUGGGAAGCUCUCCCUCACUGGAAGUUUUCAAGCCCAGGCUGGACAACCAUCUGUUGGGGAAAGGGGUGACUCUAGGAAGCAAAGGGGUGGCAGAGGACGGGAUUACUGGAAUGAGGAUUUUGCUACACAUUACAUACUUAUAGAGAUAAAGACAUUAAAUGUUGUUAGUUUAUUUGCCUAAUUAAUGAAGAUCGCUCGACGUUUUCAAAUUUAUUCAGAAAAUGAGCCAAAUGCCUCUUAGAGAAUAGUGAGUUUUUUGUUUGUUUUGGAUUAAGACCAUGUGGCUCUGGUGGGGAAAGAGGUCAGUACCAGGCCAACUCAAAUCUGCAGGGGAGAUGACCCUGCACACAUGGUCUCACCCACUUCCUGGCCAGGGAGGAAGUUAAGGGCUUGGCUUGGCUUCUGGGAGGCUGGAGGAGUCUCCUACUGGCUGCACUGGCUUCUGCUGCUUGUUCUGGAGUAGAGAAUGAGGCUUCCUUAAACAAUGGGGACUUUUAAAAACAAUUAAUUCGAGCUAUAAACUGUAAUAAACUUUGACUGUAUUGUCUGGCACUUUGCUGUAAGGUUCCAGUCUGGUGGAUGGGGGAGUGAGAAAUAUUUUUGGGGAGAACCUGCUGCUACCCCUUGGAGUCAGUCCUGGUUGAUGAUGUUCUAACUUUUACUUCCUGAAUCAAGUAGGGGCUUGGACUAAAUCGCCUGCAAGACCCCUCCAGCUCUGUGAUUCUGUGAUCUGAGUCUAUAGUUGUUGUCAGCCUCUGUUUGUGGUACAUUACAAUAUAACCAUAUCAGUUUUACAUUCAA